UACAGAGGCCUCGAGCGUUAGGCGGAAUCACUGGGCUUAAAGCGUGUGUAGGUGGAUGCCUAAGUGCCUUGUGAAAUCCCACGGCUUAACCGUGGAAUUGCUGGGCAUACUGGGUGUCUUGAGCCACUCAGGGGCUACCGGAACAAAUGGUGGAGCGGUGAAAUGCGUAGAUAUCAUUUGGAACGCCAAUGGUGAAAACAGGUAGCUGGGGGUGUGCUGACACUGAGACACGAAAGCCCAGGGGAGCAAACGGG
rnacentral:rRNA from 1 species